CCUACGGGGCGCAGCAGUGAGGAAUAUUGGUCAAUGGACGCAAGUCUGAACCAGCCAUGCCGCGUGCAGGAAGACUGCCCUAUGGGUUGUAAACCUCUUUUGUCAGGGAGCAACGCCGGCUACGUGUAGCCGGACUGAGAGUACCUGAAGAAAAAGCAUCGGCUAACUCCGUGCCAGCAGCCGCGGUAAUACGGAGGAUGCGAGCGUUAUCCGGAUUUAUUGGGUUUAAAGGGUGCGUAGGCGGAAUGCCAAGUCAGCGGUAAAAUCGCGGGGCUCAACCUCGCUCCGCCGUUGAAACUGGCGUUCUUGAGUGGGCGAGAGGUAUGCGGAAUGCGUGGUGUAGCGGUGAAAUGCAUAGAUAUCACGAAGAACUCCGAUUGCGAAGGCAGCUUACUAAACUGCCACUGACAUUGAUGCUCGAAAGUGUGGGUAUCAAACAGGAUUAGAUACCCGAGUAGUC
rnacentral:rRNA from 1 species